UCGGUGAGGGAUGGACUCGCGGCCUAUCAGCUAGUUGGUGAGGUAAUGGCUCACCAAGGCGACGACGGGUAGCCGGCCUGAGAGGGUGACCGGCCACACUGGGACUGAGACACGGCCCAG
rnacentral:rRNA from 1 species